UUUAUAAUUAGGGUUUCUUAACGUCAUCAAUUAGGGUUUCUAAUUGACCAUUAGAGUUCUCUAAUUAUCUGUGUGUGUUACUAACACAGUCGUUACGGUUUCUAACUUUAACCGAUUAAGGUUAUAAUAAUUAGGGUUUGUCCUAAUUAUCGACGAAAAAUAGUAAUUAGGGUUCCUUCUAAUUACCGACAUUCUUAUACACAGUAAACUUCAUAUACACAGUCACUACUCAGUCAUUUCUCAUAACUGAGUUUAAUAAUUAGG
rnacentral:lncRNA from 1 species